rnacentral:rRNA from 1 species
UACGUAGGGUGCGAGCGUUGUCCGGAAUUAUUGGGCGUAAAGGGCUCGUAGGCGGUUUGUCGCGUCGGGAGUGAAAACACCGGGCUUAACUCGGUGCUUGCUUUCGAUACGGGCAGACUAGAGGCAUGCAGGGGAGAACGGAAUUCCUGGUGUAGCGGUGAAAUGCGCAGAUAUCAGGAGGAACACCGGUGGCGAAGGCGGGUCUCUGGGCCGUAACUGACGCUGAGGAGCGAAAGCAUGGGGAGCGAACAGG